rnacentral:rRNA from 1 species
AAUCUUGCGCAAUGCGCGAAAGCGUGACGCAGCAACGCCGCGUGGGGGAAGAAGGCCUUCGGGUUGUAAACCUCUUUCAGUUGGGACGAAGCCUUACGGGUUAAUAGCCCGUGGAGGUGACGGUACCUUCAGAAGAAGCCCCGGCUAACUAGGUGCCAGCAGCCGCGGUAAUACGUAGGGGGCAAGCGUUGUCCGGAUUUACUGGGCGUAAAGGGCGCGCAGGCGGUCGUGCAAGUCGCGUGUGAAAGCCCCCGGCUCAACUGGGGAGGGUCACGCGAUACUGCUCGACUCGAAGGCAGGAGAGGGAAGUGGAAUUCCCGGUGUAGUGGUGAAAUGCGUAGAUAUCGGGAGGAACACCAGUGGCGAAGGCGACUUCCUGGCCUGUUCUUGACGCUGAGGCGCGAAAGCUAGGGUAGCAAAC